GAAGACAGCAAGGCAAACUAAGGCCAGAACGUUGUCAGCAAGGAGGAGUGUCAGCGAAGCCCCGUGAAAAUCAGCAAGAGAACAAGAUGAGGAGAUGCUGCUACACGGAGGGCUGUAUCGUAACCAAUAAGGACCGAGCAAGGAACCUUCCGUGGUUGAUUUCUUUUCUCUCCAAGUGCCAUGAGAUCAACGUUCUCCUGACAUGGCAGCUUUUUAAUCAAAGUGGAUCCUGAGACUGCAAGACAUGCCAACAUGCUGGUAAAGAACUAUUAGGAACUGUGACUCCCUUCCAGUGACAGUCAAGACAUUUUUUUUUUCCUAUAUGAUAGGGCCAGUGGGGGAAAAGGUCAAAAAAUAAUUGGAUGCUGGAUUUCUGUAACUACCAAUUUCAAUUUGGACAGUUUGUCAAAACAGCUGUAGCGUUCAGGGUUUGAAUACAAAAUAAAGAUCACAAAUGUGAACUUCUG
rnacentral:lncRNA from 1 species